GAUUCACAAAAAGAAAUGUGGAGACAAUAAAGACAAUGGUAAUAGCGAGGUGAAACGGUGGAUGCCAGGGUUUUUCUUUUCUUUUAGUUUUUUUAUUUCGUUU
rnacentral:ribozyme from 12 species